GCUCUCAACCCUGAUUCCAUCACCUCUUUUGAAUGUCAAAGACUCUGUAAUGAUACCAGCUCAUUAGCAAGUAGUGAAACAAAAGAAAUGGAAUGACAUCCUCUUAAUCAACUAGACUCUGAUAUGCUGCUGGUGUUUUACAAGAUGAGGAAACACACUCAUUGCCAGUUGUGAAGCAUCACAGCACCACCAUUUCACAGGAGUCUAGUAAGAACCAGCCCAAGCUUGAAUAUAUGCAACAGGAUCACUGCUGCUUCCCAAAAGGUUUUUCUGGAGCUUCCGCCCC